rnacentral:rRNA from 1 species
GUGAGGAAUAUUGGACAAUGGGCGCAAGCCUGAUCCAGCCAUGCCGCGUGCAGGAAGACGCAUCUAUGGUGUGUAAACUGCUUUUGUACGGGAAGAAACACUCCCUCGUGAGGGAGCUUGACGGUACCGUAAGAAUAAGGAUCGGCUAACUCCGUGCCAGCAGCCGCGGUAAUACGGAGGAUCCAAGCGUUAUCCGGAAUCAUUGGGUUUAAAGUGUCCGUAGACGGUUUAAUAAGUCAGUGGUGAAAGCCCAUCGCUCAACGAUGGAACGGCCAUUGAUACUGUUAGACUUGAAUUACAAGGAAGUGACUAGAAUAUGUAGUGUAGCGGUGCAAUGCUUAGAUAUUACAUGGAAUACCAAUUGCGAAGGCAGGUUACUACUUGUAGAUUGACGCUGAUGGACGAAAGCGUGGGGAGCGAACAGGAUUAGAAACCCUUGUAGUCC